rnacentral:rRNA from 1 species
AGAGAGAGACAUGCGCGCAUAUCAAUAAGCGGAGGAAAAGAAACUAACAAGGAUUCCCCUAGUAACGGCGAGUGAAGCGGGAAGAGCUCAAAUUUGAAAUCUUAAAGGGUUUCCCUUUACGAAUUGUAGUUUAAAGAAGUGUUUUCUGUUGAGGUUUUGGUAAAAGUUCUUUGGAAUAGGACAUCAUAGAGGGUGAGAAUCCCGUAUUUGACCUUUACUUUCAACUUUGUGAUACACUUUCAAAGAGUCGGAUUGUUUGGGAAUGCAGUCCAAAAUGGGUGGUAAAUUUCAUCUAAAGCUAAAUAUUGGCGAGAGACCGAUAGCGAACAAGUACCGUGAGGGAAAGAUGAAAAGAACUUUGAAAGGAGAGUUAAACAGUACGUGAAAUUGUCAAAAGGGAAGCGUUUGACACCAGUGUUGUUUUUCUGAAAAUCAAUUAAAGAACUGUUUAUGCUAAGCUGUUUAGACUUUAUCAGCUAUCUGUUUAGUUUUGAGCUUUUCUUUAAUGCACUUUUCAGUUAACAAGUCAACAUCAAUUUCUUUUGCUGUAAAAAAGCUUGAGGAAGGUGGCUUGAGAUUCGUCUUAAGUGUUUAUAGCCUCUUGCCUAUGCAGUCGGAGAGAUUGAGGUCUGCAGCGUAGAUCCUUCGGGGCUAAAUGCAUUUGUGCUAAGUUAUAGCAUUUUAUAGACAACUUGUUGACUAUGAUUUGUCUUGUAGCUUACUCGCUUAUGUUAUUUUACCUACGCUUAGGAUGUUGACGCAUGAGAUAUACGC